GAGCUUGGCGGUGUUUUAGACCUCUCAGGGGAACCUGUCUCAUAAUCGACAAUCCACGUUAAACCUAACCUUUGAUAGCAAUUCAGCCUGUAUACCGUUGUCGUAAGGUAACUUCUUAAAAUAUAGUAGUUAGCUUGAAAAUUUUAUUAAUUAAAACGUCAAAUCAAGGUGCAGCUAAUAAAAAGGUGAAGAUGGGUUACAAUUACAUAUUUGUAAAUACGGAUAAACAUUUGAAAGAAUGUCUUAAAGGAGGACUUGAAAGUAAUUUUAAUUAUAUAAACAAAAUGAAUAAGGCUCUGAAACGUGCACACAUCGCCCGUCGCUCUCGUUGAAAAAUGAGAUAAGUCGUAACAUAGUAGGGGUAAUGGAAAUUGUUCCUAGGC
rnacentral:rRNA from 1 species